rnacentral:rRNA from 1 species
UGGGGAAUUUUGGACAAUGGGGGAAACCCUGAUCCAGCCAUCCCGCGUGUGCGAUGAAGGCCUUCGGGUUGUAAAGCACUUUUGGCAGGAAAGAAACGUCAUGGGUUAAUACCCCGUGAAACUGACGGUACCUGCAGAAUAAGCACCGGCUAACUACGUGCCAGCAGCCGCGGUAAUACGUAGGGUGCAAGCGUUAAUCGGAAUUACUGGGCGUAAAGCGUGCGCAGGCGGUUCGGAAAGAAAGAUGUGAAAUCCCAGAGCUCAACUUUGGAACUGCAUUUUUAACUACCGGGCUAGAGUGUGUCAGAGGGAGGUGGAAUUCCGCGUGUAGCAGUGAAAUGCGUAGAUAUGCGGAGGAAUACCGAUGGCGAAGGCAGCCUCCUGGGAUAACACUGACGCUCAUGCACGAAAGCGUGGGGAGCAAACAGG